AACGCACAUUGCGCCCCCCGGCUUCCCGGGGGGCAUGCCUGUCCGAGCGUCAUUGCCAUCCCCUCAAGCUCUGCUUGGCUUGUUGGGCCAGCGUCCGCCUGCGGCUCCUGUCGCGGGGGGACGGGCCCGAAAGGCAGUGGCGGCUCCUGGAGACUUGGUCCUUUGGGCGGUGAUGCAUGGGGUCUCUUCAUCCACCGUCCCGUUGGCCACGCCCCGGGAGUCUGUCGAACGAUUGGUCUUCCCCCUUUAGGUUGACCUCGGAUCAGGUAGGGAUACCCGCUGAACUUAA
rnacentral:misc_RNA from 1 species